rnacentral:rRNA from 1 species
GGUACUGAGACACGGACCAGACUCCUACGGGAGGCAGCAGUGAGGAAUAUUGGUCAAUGGGCGGGAGCCUGAACCAGCCAAGUCGCGUGAGGGAUGACGGCCCUAUGGGUUGUAAACCUCUUUUGCCGGGGAGCAAAGUGCCGCACGUGUGCGGUUUGGAGAGUACCCGGAGAAAAAGCAUCGGCUAACUCCGUGCCAGCAGCCGCGGUAAUACGGAGGAUGCGAGCGUUAUCCGGAUUUAUUGGGUUUAAAGGGUGCGUAGGCGGACGCUUAAGUCAGCGGUAAAAUUGCGGGGCUCAACCUCGUCGAGCCGUUGAAACUGGGUGCCUUGAGUGGGCGAGAAGUACGCGGAAUGCGUGGUGUAGCGGUGAAAUGCAUAGAUAUCACGCAGAACUCCGAUUGCGAAGGCAGCGUACCGGCGCCCAACUGACGCUGAAGCACGAAGGCGUGGGUAUCGAACAGGAUUAGAUACCCUGGUAGUCCACGCAGUAAACGAUGAAUGCUAGUUGUCCGGGGCGAUUGAGUUCUGG